GAUGAAGAACGUAGCGAAAUGCGAUAAGUAAUGUGAAUUGCAGAAUUCAGUGAAUCAUCGAAUCUUUGAACGCACAUUGCGCCCCUUGGUAUUCCGAGGGGCAUGCCUGUUCGAGCGUCAUUUCACCACUCAAGCCUGGCUUGGUGUUGGGCGACGUCCUCUUUGGGGACGCGCCUCGAAACGCUCGGCGGCGUGGCACCGGCUUUAAGCGUAGCAGAAUCUUUCGCUUUGGAAGUCGGGGCCCCGUCUGCCGGAAGACCUGCUCGCAAGGUUGACCUCGGAUCAGGCAGGGAUACCCGCUGAACUUAAGCAUAUCAAUAAGCGGAGGA
rnacentral:misc_RNA from 1 species